AGAGUUGGCUCAGGACGAACGCUGGCGGUGUGCCUCAUACAUGCAAGUCGAACGAGAAACUGGAGCUUGCUUCAGUGGAAAGUGGCGGACGGGUGAGUAAUAUGUAGGAAAUCUGCCCUAGAGAGGGGGACAACAGAGGGAAACUUCUGCUAAUACCCCAUAUGAGCUUGGUUGAAAUACCAAUCUUGAAAACUCCGGUGCUCUAGGAUGAGCCUGCAUCUGAUUAGCUAGUUGGUGGUGUAAUGGACCACAAAGGCGACGAUCAGUAGCUGGUUUGAGAGGAUGAUCAGCCACAAUGGGACUGAGACACGGCCCAUACUCCUACGGGAGGCAGCAGUAGGGAAUUUUGCGCAAUGGGGGAAACCCUGAACCGCAGCAACACCGCGUGAAUGUUAAGCCCUUCGGGGUAUAAAGUUCUGUCAAUGGGGAAGAAUAAAUGACUGUACCCAUAAAGGAAGCACCGGCUAACUCCGUGCCAGCAGCCGC
rnacentral:rRNA from 1 species